GCUUCUUUUUCACCGGAGCUUGCUCCACCGGAAAAAGAAGAGUGGCGAACGGGUGAGUAACACGUGGGUAACCUGCCCAUCAGAAGGGGAUAACACUUGGAAACAGGUGCUAAUACCGUAUAACAAUCGAAACCGCAUGGUUUUGAUUUGAAAGGCGCUUUCGGGUGUCGCUGAUGGAUGGACCCGCGGUGCAUUAGCUAGUUGGUGAGGUAACGGCUCACCAAGGCCACGAUGCAUAGCCGACCUGAGAGGGUGAUCGGCCACAUUGGGACUGAGACACGGCCCAAACUCCUACGGGAGGCAGCAGUAGGGAAUCUUCGGCAAUGGACGAAAGUCUGACCGAGCAACGCCGCGUGAGUGAAGAAGGUUUUCGGAUCGUAAAACUCUGUUGUUAGAGAAGAACAAGGAUGAGAGUAACUGUUCAUCCCUUGACGGUAUCUAACCAGAAAGCCACGGCUAACUACGUGCCAGCAGCCGCGGUAAUACGUAGGUGGCAAGCGUUGUCCGGAUUUAUUGGGCGUAAAGCGAGCGCAGGCGGUUUCUUAAGUCUGAUGUGAAAGCCCCCGGCUCAACCGGGGAGGGUCAUUGGAAACUGGGAGACUUGAGUGCAGAAGAGGAGAGUGGAAUUCCAUGUGUAGCGGUGAAAUGCGUAGAUAUAUGGAGGAACACCAGUGGCGAAGGCGGCUCUCUGGUCUGUAACUGACGCUGAGGCUCGAAAGCGU
rnacentral:rRNA from 1 species